AUCAUGGUUACUUGGAUGACGGCUACAACUUUCUCUCUGAGAACAUAUGGUAUAUAGACUGCGUGAUCCUCAUGGAACAGGAUACAUUACCACAUGCUGAACAGCAGAUUUCUUCUGGGGCUCUUAAAAGCUGUAGGCGUGACAGACCUGGAAGCACCACAGAAGACAGAAAGCGACUUACAGUGCGUUCAAGAUGUCACUGUCCAACUGAUGCCAUGUUGUUCAGUGCUUGUUUAGCGGUUUCUUGAAUGUUAAGAUGGUUUCAACAGAUCGGGUGGAGGUUAGAAGCUCAUUCCACCACAAAGGAACAGAGAAAUUAAAUAUGGAGAGCAACAUCGUGCCUUGCAAUGGAGCCACCACUCACCAUCAUUCAUCAAUCAUGAACUGUGCUGAAAUUCUCCAGGAAAAAAGCAGUUGAAAAGAACAAAUAAUUCAAUUUACUUUUACAUUUCUGUAUUACUUACUCGAACAGAAGAAUUCUAUCAUGUUAAAUUCUGACGAAUGCUGUUUACUCUUUUCCACGCAGUUACAAUAAAUAUGGAUUGAAGCUUCAAGCUUAAAAA